GCGACUAACCGCGAAAGUCUUCGGGGAGCCGUAAGUAGGCUUUGAUCCGGAGGUCUCCGAAUGGGGGAACCCAGCAUGUGCAGACAUGCUAUCCUUAAGUGAAUACAUAGCUUAAGGAGGGAACACGCAGUGAACUGAAACAUCUAAGUAGCUGCAGGAAGAGAAAGAAAUAUCGAUUUCCCAAGUAGCGGCGAGCGAACAGGAAAGAGCCCAAACCG
rnacentral:rRNA from 1 species